AGUGAACGCUGGCGGUAGGCCUAACACAUGCCAGUCGAACGGAAGCACAGUAAGAGCUUGCUCUUACGGGUGGCGAGUGGCGGACGGGUGAGGAAUACAUCGGAAUCUACUUUUUCGUGGGGGAUAACGUAGGGAAACUUACGCUAAUACAGCAUACGAUCUACGGGUGAAAGCAGGGGAUCUUCGGACCUUGCGCGAUUGAAUGAGCCGAUGUCGGAUUAGCUAGUUGGCGGGGUAAAGGCCCACCAAGGCGACGAUACGUAGCUGGUCUGAGAGGAUGAUCAGCCACACUGGAACUGAGACACGGUCCAGACUCCUACGGGAGGCAGCAGUGGGGAAUAUUGCACAAUGGGCGCAAGCCUGAUCCAGCCAUACCGCGUGGGUGAAGAAGGCCUUCGGGUUGUAAAGCCCUGUUGUUGGGAAAGAAAAGCAGCAGGUGAAUACCCCGCUGUUCUGACGGUACCCAAAGAAUAAGCACCGGCUAACUUCGUG
rnacentral:rRNA from 1 species